AUACGGAGGAUGCGAGCGUUAUCCGGAUUUAUUGGGUUUAAAGGGUGCGUAGGUGGCAGAUUAAGUCAGCGGUGAAAGUUUGUCGCUCAACGAUAAAAUUGCCGUUGAUACUGGUUUACUUGAGUAUAGUUGAAGUAGGCGGAAUGCGUGGUGUAGCGGUGAAAUGCAUAGAUAUCACGCAGAACUCCGAUUGCGGAGGCAGCUUACUAAGUUAUAACUGACACUGAAGCACGAAAGCGUGGGUAUCAAACAGGAUUAGAUACCCUGGUAGUCCACGCAGUAAACGAUGAUAACUAGUUAUCCGUUCCGAUUGGGGAAUGGGUGACCGAGCGAAAGCGUUAAGUUAUCCACCUGGGGAGUACGCCUGCAACGGUGAAACUCAAAUGAAUUGACGGGG
rnacentral:rRNA from 1 species